UACAGAGGUGGCAAACGUUAAUCGGAAUUACUGGGCGUAAAGGGUGCGUAGGCGGGUCUUUUAAGUCAGGGGUGAAAUCCUGGAGCUCAACUCCAGAACUGCCUUUGAUACUGGCGAUCUCGAGUCCGGGAGAGGUGAGUGGAACUGCGAGUGUAGAGGUGAAAUUCGUAGAUAUUCGCAAGAACACCAGUGGCGAAGGCGGCUCACUGGCCCGGUACUGACGCUGAGGUGCGAAAGCGUGGGGAGCAAACAGG
rnacentral:rRNA from 1 species